UCUUGAUAACUAGACACCAUAUAUUCAUGUAUGUUUUACAAUAUAUUUUCAAAUGUGUGAUCCCAUCAGAUGCUUGUAAUGCCGUAAAUGGAGGGGGCAAGUGUUGCUGUCUGUAUUUUUAAAAGAGAGAUUACAAGAUUCACUCAAGGUCACAUGGUAACGGGCAGAAUUGGACUUGAAUCAAGAUCUUCUGACUUUAAAAACAGUUUCCCAUGAUGAAUCCUUGUUUGCAGACUGUAAAUGCACUACAGAAAUAAAGAAAGUGUGUAUGAGAGCUGGCAGAGCAAAGGGGGCAAGCAGAGCCAAGCACCGUGAACAAGGCUCAGGGUCAUAGGGCACACAUGAUAGUGUAAUGCAGGAGGAGUGCGAGCUUUGUCACUGGGCAUUCAGGUCUUCCCUGGCAGGAGACUGCUUACGUGCCACACAGGACCCUGCCACCGUCAAGUCCACUCUCCUGCCUGUGCAGAGGUGGAAGCUGUUCCUAGGCUGAUUUGCAGCAUUAGAGGGCAGGCAGCCACAGCUGAAGGGACCAAAGACAU